CCUACGGGUGGCAGCAGUGAGGAAUAUUGGUCAAUGGACGAGAGUCUGAACCAGCCAAGUAGCGUGAAGGAUGACUGCCCUAUGGGUUGUAAACUUCUUUUAUAUGGGAAUAAAAUGUUCCACGUGUGGGAUUUUGUAUGUACCAUAUGAAUAAGGAUCGGCUAACUCCGUGCCAGCAGCCGCGGUAAUACGGAGGAUCCGAGCGUUAUCCGGAUUUAUUGGGUUUAAGGGGAGCGUAGGUGGAUUGUUAAGUCAGUUGUGAAAGUUUGCGGCUCAACCGUAAAAUUGCAGUUGAAACUGGCAGUCUUGAGUACAGUAGAGGUGGGCGGAAUUCGUGGUGUAGCGGUGAAAUGCUUAGAUAUCACGAAGAGCUCCGAUUGCGAAGGCAGUUCACUGGACUGCAACUGACACUGAGGCUCGAAAGUGUGGGUAUCAAACAGGAUUAGAUACCCUAGUAGUC
rnacentral:rRNA from 1 species